UCCAAUAUUUUUUUUUUUUUUAUUUUCCUGAAUGACUUAGUUUGGCUUCUGUAGUAAGUUUUUAUGGUUUCUAAAAAUAUUUUGUUGCUUUUGAAGUGUUUUUCUUGCUUCAGUUAAGUAAAUGUACUGGAUUUUCUGUUGUUAUCAGCGUAAAUAAAAAGCGGUUUUUACGGUUAUUUUUACCCAGCCUGAUUCUUGGCUCUUUUAUUUGAGGUUUUAAUGAAGAUUUUAUUGCUUCAAAAAUUCGUUUAUGAUAUCUGAAGUGUUUUGCGUUCCUGUUGAGUUAAGUAUGUGGACUUUGAAUAGCCUUAUGGUGCCGUUAAAAGUGGUAAUUUCGUCAAUUUUUGAUUAUUUUAUUUCUCUAUUUGAGCUUGUAACUAACUUUGCAAUGCUUGAAAAAAUAGUUCAGAUUUUUUAAAGUGUUUUUUUAUCGGUGUAAUGUGAAAUGGGUGGACUUUUCAGUGUUUUUAAUGGUGUCAAAGUUCCAACACUUUUUCCAUAUUUCAUAUUAAUAUUUUUUAACAAGUACUCAGGCUGGAGAUGUUUUGAUGUUGUGAAAAUUAAUUAAAGUAAUUGUCAAGUCAGAAUAUAUAAGGCAUUCGAUCCUAGCUUAAUUUUUUCUAGAGGUCAAUUUCAAAAUGAAAUACGUUACGUACGUAAGCCAGUGGGCUGGCGGGAGCUCGCCUGUGACGUCAUCAACGACUCAGGACACCCGGCUCCAGUGUCUCCUCGGCAAUAUUUACCAUCCCUCAAGACCUCUUCGUUGACACUGUAGAGUCCAACAACUCCCUUGCCUCUGCACUGACCUGUCUCUUCGCCAACACUGAGGACAGCACUGCCCGCCUGUCACCUCCCUUGGUCCUUGAGGCUCAUCGCUUUAAGGACCACCUCUCUGCCAAGUUCGAGUGGGAUCUGACACUUACGGACGAGGGGGAGUACGCGCUGGUGGUGGUUGAUGUGACUUGAGAUGUGGGGGGUGUUUGGGGGUGUGUUCUGCAAUGAGGGAAGGAGGGAAGGGGUAUGUUUGUAGGUGUUUGUUUGUGUGUGUAUGAUUUUUUUUUUCUUGAUUUUUUUCUCUUCUCUUAUUUUUUUCUUGCUCCUCUUUCUUCUUUCUCUUCUUUGUGUGUGUGUGUGUGUGUGUGUGUGUGUGUGUGUGUGUGUGUUUUGUAAAGAGAGAGGGAUAUGAGAUGCCGUUGUCCAUCUUCAAAUAUAUUGUAUAUUCAAAUAUAUUGCAUGUUUUGGGCGUCUGUGUUUGGGAUGUUUUAGGAAGGGUGAUAUUUUUGUUUUUAUAUAUAUAUAUAUAUAUAUAUAUAUAUAUAUAUAUAUAUAUAUAUAUAUAUAUAUAUAUAUAUAUAUAUAUAUAUAUAUAUAUAUGUAUGUAUAUAUGCAGAUCCAAGAUGUCUCAAGUAUAAAAAUUUGUGCAUGUCUGUGGUCCUGCUGUGCCCUACUCUCACCAAACAAUUGCUUGUUUUCAACAGAUCAUGGUAUAUUAUAGUGAAAAUUGCUGAUUCCACAAAAGUUACCUGAAACAUUGUAAUAUUAACUACUGCACAGUACUAUAGCUGUUGUUUAGAAUGGUGUGCUCCAGAUUUCUGCCUCAGUCCCAUGUAUAAAUCUGAUAUUUGUCUUGAUGUAUAAGUAGGUGUCUGGGUCCCUGGAAGCAUCUGAUUUAUCUGAUGUCUGAAAUAUGGACAUCAGGUUUAUAGAGGUUUUACUGUUGUUCAUUUUCCAUAAGUAGUGUACCUUUCUUGCAGUAUUAAAGCUCACAGUGUAGUCAUAUUGUUCAUGUAGCUUAGGGUAUUACAAAUAUAAUUUGUGAAUUGUAAACUACCUCCUGUCGUACUGCCUGGUGUAAGAGGCAGGACGUUGUAGUGCAUUGGAGGGCAUCUUGAGUUAUUAUUGUUGUUAAUGUUGAUUCAUCCAGCUUUGCACUAGUCGCAAGCUUUUAAGAAAUCAUUAUUGUGAAGCAAGUUACUUCUAGUUGGCUAAUAAUUGUUGUGUUCUCAGAAUUUAGUCAGUGAUUACUUUUAAGGUGUGGUUGUUGUGUGUGCUCCUGCAGCAGGGAGGCUUACAUCACUGCUGUCCUGCAUCACCAAGGCAGCCACUGUGAGUCUGACACCCAGGGACACAGGAACACUGCAGCACCCACCACUGGUUACUGACGCCUUCACUCCCUUGUUGGUCUACAUAUUCCUAUGAUAUUUUAAAAUGUGUGGCAGAUUUAUAUUAUUUAUUAGAGUUUAAGAUAAGUAAGAUAAAAGGUGAUAUCUGUUUGGAUAAUCCAGUACCUUAUAAAUAAGUUAGACUUUUGAUAUAUAUAAGAGUUUGCCGCACAUUUCAAGACAAGCUGGGAACAUAACCAGCAGGUGAGGGCAUCAGUGGUGACCUUGUUGCUGUUCUCCCAUGUCCUUUGUGACAGAAUUACUGGGACACACUUGGUGACAGAUUGCUGUGGUGGAGGGUGUGCUCACCUGCUGCUGGGGGAAUUAGUUCAAAUCCUGGACUCCUGAAACCUAUUGAAGGGAUUAUACAGUCAGGUGGAGAUAUCCGGGGAACUGGUAUGAAUAUAUCAGUGCCUGGACACAGCUCAUACUGCAAUGUGGAGAUUCACAUUACAUGAUAAAAUAUACUUGUAAGCGUCAGUUUUUAUAUGGAUGUAGAGUAGCAGGAUGGAGCUCAAGGCAGGAGUUCAAAUCUGACUCUUUUCUACCUUUACUUAGUGAUCUGGAUGUGCUGAGUUGUGUAACCCUUCCUCUGCCUUGCCACUGCCACACGCUCUGCCACAUCACCAGUGCUGGGUGUGGUAGCCAGUGUUUGGUGUUCACUUUAUUCGCAGUGUCUUACUAAGUGUUCAUUGCCCCUCUCUCUCUCUCUCUCUCUCUCUCUCUCUCUCUCUCUCUCUCUCUCUCUCUCUCUCUCUCUCUCUCUCUCUCUCUCUCUCUCUCUCUCUCUCUCUCUCUCUCUCUCUCUCUCUCUCUCUCUCUCUCUCUCUCUCUCUCUCUCUCUCUCUCUCUCUCUCUCUCUCUCUGAAAAUGUAUAUGCUCAGAAGUGUUUCUUUUGUGAACAUUACUUGUAUUUCCUUCAUUUUCCUCUAAGUGUGGUAAAGCUGUAUAUAAUUGCUUUGUCAGUUUAUGAACAAUGUAUAGCAUCUAGAGGACAGUGUUUCCAUGCUUGAGUUGUUAAGGCGUUAUGUAUGUUGGCUUACUUCUCAUGUCAGCAUUGCUUCCCAUCCAUUGCUUUUCUACUUUAUAUGCAGUAUUCAUGUUUUUUUAUAUUUUUAUCUUCAGCUUUCUACUGUGAUUCUUGUAAAGUAAUGAAGCAUUGGUACAAGCACCCAAAGUGGUGAUGUCACAAAGUACAGUGAAUUUCAUGUCUGUGAAUUGAGUAUGAAUUAAUAUAUGUAUUAAUAAACUGCUUUAUAUUAACAGUUCCACAAAAAUCAAGAAGAACUUUGAUGUGAUAAGUGGAGGCUCUUGUGUGAUAUUGAUUUUUUGCCUGAAAUGUUUUGUACAGUCUGACAUCACCACUUGAGGCAGCAAGACAGUGGGCAGUGAGUACAGCCAAACACAUACACUAAUGAAUGAUUGGAACAUUACUUUACUGAACCCAAAAGACUUUUUUCUAACACUCCUGAUAGCACUGCACUGCCAUGGCAAGCCCAGGAUGGUGAAUGUUAUUUGUGAAGUACAUGAAAACUGAGCAGUGGUAAGAGAUAAAUUUGCUGAAUGACACUGUUAAGUAUAAUGUUGGAUAGGGAGAGGUGGAGGCUCUUCUGUGGCCAGUGCUUUGAGGUACACUCGGAGGGAACUAGCAGUCAGAGAGGUAAAUUGAUAGAAAUAAAAGUGGCAUUAACAUGUAGUAAAUUAACAAGAAAAUACUGGAUUAAUUUCAUUGAUUAAAUAAAGUGUUGUGCUGUACUCAUCAGGAACACUGAGCAGAUUUCUGAGGAUUUCAGAUGCUAACUUUAUUUACAUGUUGAUACUAUCAUGGAGUUCAAGUGCUAGUCAACAUUUUUUAAUACUAUUUGCUUUACUCUGCAUGUGCUAAUGACGUGAAUUUCUUAGUACAAUUGUUGUUGCCAAAUGGUUCCUUUGCUUGUACCUUUAGUGGGGAUGCUGUGAGGGGCAUCCCUGGUGUAGCACGCAAUAGUUACCAUGUGUUGGGCUGGCUGGGGGUGUUGGAGGAGGAGGGUGAGUGGGAACAAAGUGUAUACAUAUGAUAAUCACCAUUAACCCUUUCACUGCCAUGUGGUGUGUCUUUCGUAAGCUGUAAAGCCCACUGAGACCACCUUGUAUUCUGCACCAUCUCUUGAUACACUGAGGAUAAAUUGAAGCAUUUAUUCUUUCAAGUUCCUUUUUUGUUUAUUUUUUGUAGAUGUUUGUGAACUGCUGCAUACUGCAGUGAAAGGGUUAAUUACUGCUUUCUUUCAGAAUAAUAAUGAUAAUGAUGUAUGUUUGCUUUAUUUACACUCAUCUGUUUCAGGAUAACAAUAAUAAUAUGUACUUUACUUAAUGAUCUUUUUGUUGGAGUGGAGGUUAAGAGAGAGGCACAGGUGUUAUAAGGCAGGAAUACACUCGCCUUGCAAUGCAUGUCUCUCUCUUAACCUACGCCCUCAAUCUCUUUUUUACAAUAUACACAAAAGAGAAACUUGCUUAGGAUUGGUAACACUGAGAGUUGUUUGAUUCUUUGGUUAUAAAAAAUUUGUUUAGGGUUGUGUGUGUGUAAAGUUGAUUACCACGAUUCUUUUGUUUAGGAUGAGAUCUUACAAAAUUACUUAAUGCUUGGUUUAAUCUCUGCAAUAUAGAAGAAAAGAUUUACAUAGGAUUGGCCACUUAGAAGAUUUUUUGUUUAUUUUAUCUUUUUCUCUUUUCUUUUUACUUGUUUGAUUUGAUUUUUAGCAUACAGAAAAGAAUAUUGUGAUGGAUCAGAUGCUUACAAAGUUGUUUAAAAUAUAUAUUCAUAAAAUUCACAAUAAAGAACAUUGACACAUAAUUAAGAUUAACAUACAAAGAAAACGAAUGUGAAAGGAGUUCAUGGAUCAUUGUUGAUUGUUAAAUAGAAAGUCUAUUCACAAUUUGAAAAGCUGUACCUUCAUUUAGUAAUAGUGUGCAUAGCUUUUACUUUCUCCAUUAUAUACAGUAUUGUGGUAUGUGCUAUCAUGACAUGAAUAUAUUUCAGUUUUGGCCAUGCUAAUUUUUCCCAAGAUGUGUUCAUGGAAAAAAAAAAAAAAGCUGCAUAUAUAAAACAGU